GCCAGCUUGGCGAAGAGGCUAACGCGUUGGUUUUGUAAACCAAAGGUCACCAGUUCAAGUCUGGUAGUUGGCA
rnacentral:tRNA from 1 species